AUGCACUUGAAAGAUGUCUUUUGCCCUGCAACUUUCGCUAAUUAGUUUUCUAGAUAAUUUCUCUACCCAGUUCGUCGGUCAAAUUCGUCUGAUUCUCACCAAGUAAAAUUUUGGAAACCAUUGGGACAUUCUGCGUAAAAUAAUGCAGAUAGCUACGCUCACUAUACAUUGAAACCAAGUUACAAACAGAGGUGCAUCCAAAUUCACAGUAUCACUGGACAAGAGUGCUUUAUUCAUAAAUACAGUUAGAAUAGAUACUAUCCUGGAAAAUUAUUUAAAAACACAUUUAAAGAAAAAUCUUUGUAAAAAAAAUCAAGAUUUUGAAUUAUAAUAGUAAUUGUGUAACAAGUGCGAAGUCAGGUAUUGUUCACGAGUGCGAGAAUGAAAAAAGUAAUUCAAGUUUCAAUAAUAGUAAGUUACUUAUUCAAUCGAAAAUAGUUUAAAGUUAAGUUUGUCUGUUUCAAUCUGCAAUGGAUCUUGCUGAAUAUAAUUUUUCUAUUAAUUUAAUAUCCUUAGCUUAUAUAAACUGCGCGCCGACAAGUUUUUCAGUCUUGAAACAGUUAAUAAUUGAUGCUUAAAAACACCUUUAAGAUUCCCACUUUUCCCAAAAAGGAUUUCAUACAAAAAUCAAGCCUAAAAAUUUUCAGAAAACAAAAAAUUUCUUUAUCUUUAAAUUGUUCAUUAUGUAAAUUUUUCUUCGGAUAUUUAUAUAGGUUUAAAAACAAAGUUAUUAUAUAUUAUAGUUGUAUACAUAUAUUAUCUACAUAUGUAUAUAAUAUAUUAUAUUUUACUAUUUUUUUGAGGAUCUAAUUUUUUGAGAAAAUUUUGGACUUAUUUGCUUUUUACGGAAAUUUUACUAUCUGUUUAUGUCAUAAUAUUGUACAUUUAUUUCUUUUUAUAACAAUAAUAAAGAUAAAGAAGAAAAUUA